GAUGAACGCUGGCAGAAUGCUUAACACAUGCAAGUCCACUUGAAUUUGGGUUUUUAACUUAGGUUUGGGUGGCGGACGGGUGAGUAACGCGUAAAGAACUUGCCUCACAGCUAGGGACAACAUUUGGAAACGAAUGCUAAUACCUAAUAUUAUGAUAAUAGGGCAUCCUAUAAUUAUGAAAGCUAUAAGCGCUGUGAGAGAGCUUUGCGUCCCAUUAGCUAGUUGGAGAGGUAACGGCUCACCAAGGCGAUGAUGGGUAGCCGGCCUGAGAGGGUGAUCGGCCACAAGGGGACUGAGACACGGCCCUUACUCCUACGGGAGGCAGCAGUGGGGAAUAUUGGACAAUGGACCGAGAGUCUGAUCCAGCAAUUCUGUGUGCACGAUGAAGUUUUUCGGAAUGUAAAGUGCUUUCAGUUGGGAAGAAACAAAUGACGGUACCAACAGAAGAAGUGACGGCUAAAUACGUG
rnacentral:rRNA from 1 species